GGCGAUGUAGCCAAGUGGUAAGGUAACGGUCUGCAAAACCGCCAUCGCGGGUUCGAUUCCCGUCAUCGCCU
rnacentral:tRNA from 1 species